rnacentral:rRNA from 1 species
AUUGAACGCUGGCGGCAUGCCUUACACAUGCAAGUCGAACGGUAACGCGGGGCAACCUGGCGACGAGUGGCGAACGGGUGAGUAAAGCAUCGGAACGUGCCCAGUAGUGGGGGAUAGCCCGGCGAAAGCCGGAUUAAUACCGCAUACGACCUACGGGUGAAAGGGGGGGAUCGCAAGACCUCUCGCUAUUGGAGCGGCCGAUGUCAGAUUAGCUAGUUGGUGGGGUAAAGGCCUACCAAGGCGACGAUCUGUAGCUGGUCUGAGAGGACGACCAGCCACACUGGGACUGAGACACGGCCCAGACUCCUACGGGAGGCAGCAGUGGGGAAUUUUGGACAAUGGACGCAAGUCUGAUCCAGCCAUGCCGCGUGCGGGAAGAAGGCCUUCGGGUUGUAAACCGCUUUUGUCAGGGAAGAAAUCUUCUGGGUUAAUACCUCGGGAGGAUGACGGUACCUGAAGAAUAAGCACCGGCUAACUACGUGCCAGCCGCCGCAGUAAAAC